rnacentral:tRNA from 1 species
AGUAAAAUCAGCUAACUAAGCUAUUAGGCCCAUACCCUAAUCAUGCGGGUGAGACCCCCUCUUUUGCUG